rnacentral:rRNA from 1 species
CCUACGGGGGGCAGCAGUGGGGAAUAUUGGGCAAUGGACGCAAGUCUGACCCAGCAACGCCGCGUGAAGGAAGAAGGCUUUCGGGUUGUAAACUUCUUUGACAGGGGAAGAGCAGAAGACGGUACCCUGAAAACAAGCCACGGCUAACUACGUGCCAGCAGCCGCGGUAAUACGUAGGUGGCAAGCGUUGUCCGGAUUUACUGGGUGUAAAGGGCGUGCAGCCGGGCCGACAAGUCAGAUGUGAAAUCCCGAGGCUUAACCUCGGAACUGCAUUUGAAACUGUUGGUCUUGAGUAUCGGAGAGGUCAUCGGAAUUCCUUGUGUAGCGGUGAAAUGCGUAGAUAUAAGGAAGAACACCAGUGGCGAAGGCGGAUGACUGGACGACAACUGACGGUGAGGCGCGAAAGCGUGGGGAGCGAACAGGA